UACAGAGGGUGCGAGCGUUGUCCGGAAUCACUGGGCGUAAAGGGCGCGUAGGUGGCGGGGUAAGCGUGUGGUGAAAGUCCGGGGCUCAACCCCGGAUCGGCCAUGCGAACUGCCCGGCUGGAGCACGGUAGAGGCACAUGGAAUUCCGGGUGUAGCGGUGGAAUGCGUAGAGAUCCGGAAGAACACCGGUGGCGAAGGCGGUGUGCUGGGCCGUUGCUGACACUGAGGCGCGACAGCGUGGGGAGCAAACAGG
rnacentral:rRNA from 1 species